rnacentral:tRNA from 1 species
AGCAGAGUGGCACAGUGGAAGCGUGCUGGGCCCAUAACCCAGAGGUCCGUAGAUCGAUACUACGUUCUGCUA